GGAGGUAGUGACAAUAAAUCUCAAUACGAAGCCUUUGGUUUUGUAAUUGAAUUGAGAACAAUGUACAAUCGUUAUCGAUAAACAAUUGGAGGGCAAGUCUGGUGCCAGCAGCCGCGGUAAUUCCAGCUCCAAUAGCGUAUAUUAACGUUGUUGCAGUUAAAAAGCUCGUAGUUGAAGUUUAGAUGGUUUGAAGGGGGUGUUAGUAUCAAUGGUACUAUCUGCUCUCUUUGGAUUAUCGACUUCCAGGUAAGUAUAAUGAACCUUUCGGGGUUCGUUAUACCAGACUGGUCUUUUACUGUGAGAAAAUUAGAGUGUUUAAAGCAAACUAUCCCGAGUUUGAAUAGAUUAGCAUGGAAUAAUAAGAUUGGCUUUCAUAGUCGAUUUUUUGGUUUGUUUAUGAAAGCAAGAUUAAUAGGGACAGUUGGGGGUAUUCAUAUUCAAUAGCUAGAGGUGAAAUUCUAUGAUUUAUGGAAGAUGAACAAGUGCGAAAGCA
rnacentral:rRNA from 1 species